GAAAGACCCCGUGAACCUUUACUAUAGCUUGACACUGAACAUUGAGCCUUGAUGUGUAGGAUAGGUGGGAGGCUUUGAAGUGUGGACGCCAGUCUGCAUGGAGCCGACCUUGAAAUACCACCCUUUAAUGUUUGAUGUUCUAACGUGGACCCGUUACCCGGGUUGCGGACAGUGUCUGGUGGGUAGUUUGACUGGGGCGGUCUCCUCCUAAAGAGUAACGGAGGAGCACGAAGGUUGGCUAAUCCUGGUCGGACAUCAGGAGGUUAGUGCAAUGGCAUAAGCCAGCUUGACUGCGAGCGUGACGGCGCGAGCAGGUGCGAAAGCAGGUCAUAGUGAUCCGGUGGUUCUGAAUGGAAGGGCCAUCGCUCAACGGAUAAAAGGUACUCCGGGGAUAACAGGCUGAUACCGCCCAAGAGUUCAUAUCGACGGCGGUGUUUGGCACCUCGAUGUCGGCUCAUCACAUCCUGGGGCUGAAGUAGGUCCCAAGGGUAUGGCUGUUCGCCAUUUAAAGUGGUACGCGAGCUGGGUUUAGAACGUCGUGAGACAGUUCGGUCCCUAUCUGCCGUGGGCGCUGGAGAACUGAGGGGGGCUGCUCCUAGUACGAGAGGACCGGAGUGGACGCAUCACUGGUGUUCGGGUUGUCAUGCCAAUGGCACUGCCCGGUAGCUAAAUGCGGAAGAGAUAAGUGCUGAAAGCAUCUAAGCACGAAACUUGCCCCGA
rnacentral:rRNA from 1 species